AGCGAACGCUGGCGGCAGGCCUAAUACAUGCAAGUCGAACGGCUCUUCGGAGCAGUGGCGGACGGGUGAGUAACGCGUGGGAACGUGCCCUUUGGUUCGGAACAACACAGGGAAACUUGUGCUAAUACCGAAUGUGCCCUUUGGGGGAAAGAUUUAUCGCCAUUGGAGCGGCCGCGUUGGAUUAGCUAGUUGGUGGGGUAAUGGCCCACCAAGGCGACGAUCCAUAGCUGGUCUGAGAGGAUGAUCAGCCACACUGGGACUGAGACACGGCCCAGACUCCUACGGGAGGCAGCAGUAGGGAAUCUUGCGCAAUGGGCGAAAGCCUGACGCAGCCAUGCCGCGUGAAUGAUGAAGGUCUUAGGAUUGUAAAAUUCUUUCACCGGGGAAGAUAAUGACGGUACCCGGAGAAGAAGCCCCGGCUAACUUCGUGCCAGCCGCCGCAGUAA
rnacentral:rRNA from 1 species